AAAGUCGUAACAAGGUUUCCGUAGGUGAACCUGCGGAAGGAUCAUUAAAGAAUUUAAAGAGUGCACUUUAUUGUGGCUCAACACUUUCUACCAUUCACCCUAGUGCACUGUAAUACCUUUUUUUAUUACACUCUACAAAGUCAUUGAAUGUAACACUUUUUAAUAAAGAAAUAAAACUUUUAACAACGGAUCUCUUGGCUCUC
rnacentral:misc_RNA from 1 species